AUACGUAGGGGGCGAGCGUUGUCCGGAUUUACUGGGCGUAAAGGGCGCGUAGGCGGCGCGGUAAGUCUGGAGUGAAAGUCCUGCUUUCAAGGUGGGAAUUGCUUUGGAUACUGCCGCGCUUGAGUGCAGGAGAGGUUAUCGGAAUUCCCGGUGUAGCGGUGAAAUGCGUAGAGAUCGGGAGGAACACCAGUGGCGAAGGCGGGUAACUGGACUGCAACUGACGCUGAGGCGCGAAAGUGUGGGGAGCAAACAGGAUUAGAUACCCUGGUAGUCCACACUGUAAACGAUGAAUGCUAGGUGUAAGAGGUAUCGACCCCUUUUGUGCCGGAGUCAACACAAUAAGCAUUCCGCCUGGGGAGUACGGCCGCAAGGUUGAAACUUAAAGGAAUUGACGGGG
rnacentral:rRNA from 1 species